rnacentral:rRNA from 1 species
AACUUGCCCCGGAGACCGGGAUAACUCCCCGAAAGGAGAGCUAAUACCGGAUGUUCUCACUGAGUCGCAUGGCUCGGUGAGAAAAUGGAUUCCGCUCCGGGAGAGCCUCGCGGCCUAUCAGCUAGUUGGAGGGGUAACGGCCCACCAAGGCAUCGACGGGUAGCUGGUCUGAGAGGACGAUCAGCCACACUGGGACUGAGACACGGCCCAGACUCCUACGGGAGGCAGCAGUGGGGAAUCUUGCGCAAUGGGCGAAAGCCUGACGCAGCAACGCCGCGUGCGG